rnacentral:rRNA from 1 species
GAUGAACGCUGGCGGCGUGCCUAAUACAUGCAAGUCGAGCGAACAGAUGAGGAGCUUGCUCCUCUGACGUUAGCGGCGGACGGGUGAGUAACACGUGGAUAACCUACCUAUAAGACUGGGAUAACUUCGGGAAACCGGAGCUAAUACCGGAUAAUAUAUUGAACCGCAUGGUUCAAUAGUGAAAGACGGUUUUGCUGUCACUUAUAGAUGGAUCCGCGCCGCAUUAGCUAGUUGGUAAGGUAACGGCUUACCAAGGCAACGAUGCGUAGCCGACCUGAGAGGGUGCGCGACCCCGCUGGACGGGAGACACGGUCCAGCCCCCCACGGGAGGCGGCAGGGGGAAUUCUCCCGCAAGGGGCGAAGGCCGGACGAAGCAGCGCGGGGUGAGGAAUAAGUGUCUUCGUACCUAAAACCUUUUUUAUUAGGAAAAAAAAAUUUGGUAAGUACAUAGCCACUUCUUAACGCACCAUAAUAAAAAGACCAGGCCAAACUCGGCC